rnacentral:rRNA from 1 species
CCUUUGCCCACGAAAAGGACAACCAACCCGGAGCGACGCAGCCAGGCAGGGGUGAAGAGAAGAGAAGAGAGGGAAAAAAAGGCAUAGGCAUCAUUCCCAGCAUCGGGUUCUACGGAGGAGGCGCCGGUUUGGACAUCUGAUCCAUUUGGAGGGUAUUGACCGCUUCAGAGCUAGAGCUCCUCUGGCCUGUGGGCGGCUGCUGGAUUGGUCAAUAUAAUACGCUCUCUGGUCUUGGAGAUGAUGCCAUUGUGAGCACAAGAUGGAUUCCGCGAGAAGUUGGUUCCAGAAGUUCCAGCCGCGGGACAAGUCCAAGAGCCCGGCGGUGCCUGCCAGCCAUGGGAAGGAUCCCGGGAAGCCCCCCGUCGACGACGCGCCUUCUAGCGCGACCAAGCAGAAGGUCGCUGCGGCAAAACAGUACAUUGAGAACCACUACAAGACUCAGAUGAAGUCCUUGCAAGAUAGGAAAGAGAGGCGCUGGAUGCUGGAGAGGAAAUUACAGGAUGCUGAAGUUCCUGCAGAAGAGCAGAACAACAUUCUAAAACAUUUGGAGAAAAAGGAGACUGAAUAUAUGCGUUUGCAAAGACACAAGAUGGGGGUUGAAGAUUUUGAACUUUUGACAAUUAUUGGAAGAGGUGCAUUUGGAGAGGUGCGUCUUUGUAGAGAGAAGACCUCUAAAAGUGUAUAUGCAAUGAAAAAGCUUAAGAAAUCUGAAAUGCUUCGUAGGGGCCAGGUGGAACACGUCAAAGCCGAAAGAAACCUCCUUGCAGAAGUCGAUAGUGCGUACAUAGUAAAGCUUUACUAUUCUUUUCAAGAUGAUGAGUUCUUGUAUCUCAUCAUGGAGUACCUUCCUGGUGGUGACAUGAUGACUUUGCUCAUGCGCAAGGACACUCUGACAGAAGAUGAAGCCAAAUUUUACAUCGCAGAAACUGUACUAGCAAUAGAGUCCAUUCACAAGCACAAUUACAUUCACAGUAAUUUUCCAAAUUUGAAUGAACCGGAUUAUACACCUGGAAAAGGUGCUAAACCUUUACCCGAUAACACCAGUCGAUUAACUAACUCUUCUGCACCGAAGCGUACGCAGCAGGAGCAGCUGUCACAUUGGCAAAAGAACCGUCGGAUGUUGGCGUAUUCUACAGUUGGUACUCCUGAUUACAUUGCUCCAGAGGUUCUAUUGAAGAAAGGAUAUGGAAUGGAGUGUGACUGGUGGUCCCUUGGUGCUAUCAUGUAUGAAAUGCUAGUUGGUUAUCCCCCAUUUUAUUCGGAGGAUCCAAUGUCGACCUGCAGAAAGAUUGUGAACUGGAGAAGUCACCUGAAAUUUCCUGAAGAGGCAAAGCUUUCUUCUGAAACUAAGGAUCUCAUUAGCAAACUUCUCUGUAAUGUUGAGCAGAGACUUGGAACAAAAGGAGCCCAUGAAAUAAAAGCACAUACAUGGUUUAGAGGUGUCCAAUGGGAAAAGUUGUAUCAGAUGAAAGCUGCUUUCAUACCAGAAGUUAAUGGCGAGUUGGAUACUCAGAACUUUGAGAAAUUUGAGGAGACUGGAGCACAAGUUCAGAGUUCAUCUAAGGCGGGUCCAUGGAGAAAGAUGCUUCCAUCCAAGGAUGCAAAUUUUGUUGGAUACACGUACAAGAACUUUGAAAUUGUGAAUGACGAUGAAGUUGCCGGGAUUGCCGAGCUGAAGAAAAAGAGUUCCAAAUCAAAACGGCCAACCAUCAAGACAUUGUUUGAGAGCAUGGAUGAAGAUGAACCUGUGCACGGCGGUUUCUUAAAUAUGUUGCCCCAUAAGGAGGGACAACCUUCUUCUCACUCAAGCGCCCCACCAGAACAAUACCAACCUCGACGUAAAUAGGAUAUGGAGGUUUUGAAAAGUAAACCACAGAAAAGUAAAAGAGAGGAAAAAAAACUGUUGCCUUUUGGUCUUGGUGUUACCCCGUCCAGCUUUUGUAAAUCCUAACCGAUGCUUUCUUUUUAGUGAAUUUGUUAAAACAACAUCCAUCCCCUGUCUCCAAAAUAGUAUGGUGUUUGAUGUUAGCAGUGAUGCCUGUUUGGUUCGCCGUAUGUUGGGUUGACAGUCUCGGCGAUGGGUCCUCGGCUAUUACUGGCUACAGCAUAAGUGUAUACUUGCUACCAGCUCUGACGAGCAUGUGUAUUACAAUUGAAUUCACCUCUGCUUUUCUGAACCUUUCGAAGAGAUUUUUAUAGCUUACAGUAAAACUGACUGAUAUGGUUAUCAAGAUCUUGACAGGCAAUGAUGAUUUGUGGGUUACG